CGGUGUUUCAUGAAGAAAAUGUGUAAGGAAAAGGAAGGUAUAUUUGUGUUCAGAGCAAGGCUAACCACAACCACGGCUGAACGUAAAUAAAGGCUUCUGGAAACAUCAGUACGCUUCACCAUUGUCUGGCUGGGGGUUUGCUACAGAUAAACGCGGCGUUUAAGCGCAUCACAACCAUGCCUCUACAAUCAAGGUUUCUGUUGCAGCUUGACCUUCUCUCUGAAAGAUUGCUGAGUGUUUGCAAAGCGACCGGGAGAGCAGAGCAAAAAGCUGAAAGACCUACAGUAGCUGCCAUGAUGACAGGAUGACAUUGAUGCCAGAAGGGAGUCCCUCAUUAAAGGACUCUGCAUGUAUCUGAAUGAGAAUCCCGACAUCUUGGUGCAGGAGUACAUGGACAUGACUGAGGCCACUGCACUGAGUGCCAUCGAGAAAACUACAGUGUGAAUCUACGCACCAGAGAGACGCCAGGCAAUGACUUUUCUGAUGUUGACAUCAUCAUCGAGGGUGUGGUGGUUCUUCUUCAAGAUCUGGAUAAUGUGGCCCUUGCAACAGCCUUGCUGUUUGGACUUUUUUACUCUUUGAACAUGAGGUAUCCGUCAUAGCGCCGCUACACUUUCGAAGUGAUUCAAAAGGUGGUAAUGGAGUUGGAUGUGACUCAACUCUCGAGGAAAGCCCAAAGCUUAAAGACAAAACUGCUCCAGUAAGGAGAGCUCACUGUUGUUGUGCACGUGAGGCUUAAGGUGGAAUUUCCAGAUGAACAAUCAGCAACCCACAACUCAGCACAAUCACAGCAUCCAUUAAGUCCACCAACAAAAAAAAAGUGUCAGCCGGUUUAUACUUCUC